CCUUGUGGGGAGGAACGCUGCUUGGGGGGAUAAUCCCAGUGCUUCCUUACUUGAAGGGACCAUCUUCUCCUGCCCCUUUGCUCCUGCUGGUCCUGCCUGGCUUUGUGGCCAACGAGGAGGGACUUCACUGCCUGGGUCACAGAACUCUUGGCUUGGCUCUGCAGUCGUCUCUCAGCACCGUCCACAGCUCCUGGCCAGCCCGGAGGACAGCAGUUCCAGGCCCAGAGCUUCGACUGGAUCCCACGCAUCCUUGGCCUCUGAGUGUUUUACGACGGAUUUAGGAUGGGCUGCACCCAUUACUGAAAAGGCUUCGCCGUAGCUGUUUGGGGCUCUGGAAACACCCCUGGAGGAGCGGCCCUCAGAGGGGUGGUGGCGCUCACCUGCCACGUCCCCUCCUGGCCACCUGACAGGCCUGCCCAAACCGGAUGGACGGUGGCUGGUGAUGGCUCCCUCCGGGACCCAGGUAGACAGCCGUGAGAGAUGAGGUCCAUCUGAGGUGCGGAGGCUGCAGCCUUUCCUCCUGGGAUGUGGUCCAGACUUCCGGUUAGCGACACUUCAGCGAGAAGCCUGAAUGCCACUGUGUUCUGGGUUGGGAGCCAUCACCGACCACUGUCUGUUCUGGUGCCCAGGAACCACAGCCCAGUGUGUUUCUCCAGGCCUGGGGUCCCUCGGAUGGUGCGCUGUCCCUACCCUGCUCACGCUGGCCCAGUGGGGAAGCAACGCCCCAGGCGGUGACCUCCUGUACGUCCUGUGGCCCUGUCCACGGCUGCCUUGCUGUGGCUUUCAGAGUCUGUAGGGGAAAUUUCUCCUCCUCACAGCCGCAGAAGGAAAGCAGUGGAAACAGUGCAAUAGAUGAAAUUGCCUCAGUGUCCCCUCAGCGGCUCCAGGAGUGCGACCAUUUGAGGCUGGCUCUGAUGCCAGCAUGGGCUCAAGCAUGGGCACCCUCUUUUCCUGGCUUCCAGGGGCGUCUGGCCGAUUGGAGGCAUCUGUUAGGACUUGGGGUACAGAGGAGUGAGGUCUGAGAUCUGUGCCAGGCUCCCCAGGGACACAGCUUGCUUCUUUCACCCUUGCCACCAUUUUGUUUUUGUUUUUUGAGGCUGCAUCUUGCUAUGUAGCCCAGGCUGGCCUUGAACUGGCUUCCAACUCCCAGUAAUCCUCCUGUCUCAGCCUCCCGGGUCCUCGGGUGACAGAUGUGUACCUCCAUCCUUGGCCCUUUCUGGGUUCUGGGCUCAGCUCCCUCCCUGUCCUGGAUGGGGGAGGUCCCCAGCUAUCACAACCCCAGGGACACUGCCCUGCGUCUUAGCCACAGACAGGAGAAAGUACCCGGUGGACAUGUCCUCAGAAUGCCCAGUCCGCAGUGCAUCCGCCGUCUCAGUGGGCCCAGGGCCAUGCAGCAUGGAAAUGUCCUGGGGGCUUGGCCAGCGCUGUCAGGUGAAUGAGGCAGGGACCAGUGAGGCCAUCAAGGAAGCAGGUGGAGGCCCAGGCCCCCUACACCACAGGUCUGUGUGAGGCAUGGCCUCAGCUGCCGCAACGUGAUCCUGGGUGACGACAGCAAGUCCUGGCCUUGCCCGCUGGGCAUCUUGGGUUGAGUUGGGUGGGCAGCAUCCACUGAGAAAAGCAGAAAAGCUUCUUGGGCACCAUGGGCACAGCCAAGUUGUCCCAAGUCCCUAAAGAGCUCCUCAGUGUGACCCGACUUCGUCUGUGGAGCGUCCUGGCUGCAGUAACGGAAGGUGACCAUGCCUGUCGGGGCAGGGUAGUCUAAGGACCCCACCCUCUGGGCACCACCCUUCCCCACAGCUCACCCAUGGGCACCGGACAAGGCAGACCUGGACCCUCCAGCCUCCUGUGCUGUGUCCCUUGGAUGGUCACUGAGAUCAGAACUGUUUGUCCCCUUGCUGGGUGCAGUGACAUGUGCCUAUAGUUCCAGCUACCCUGGAGGAUAAGACAGGAGGAUCCCUUGCACCCAGGAGUUUAUACCCAGCCUGGGCAACACAGUACACAGACACACAGGAAUUGUUUGUUCCCCCUGAAACUAGCUCCACUCAGAGACAGACAUUUCAGGGAGGGGCCGAGGUGUCGCCUGAUGACAGGUGGCUGUAAGUCAUCUUCUCAUGCCAAGACGAGCCACCCGGCAGAGAUCUCGAUUCCGGGGCCUGACCCCUAGCAGAGCCUGAGUGCACCGUACCACGAGCUGCAGCUGCGCCCAGCUUUGUCUCUCACAGCUCCCACCUGGGCCUUCGGAACCAGGACUCGGCACUGCAGCCAGCGGUGACCCCAAGCCCAGGCCUUCUGAAUAGAGGGGAGAGGCCCUUUCCAGACUGCAGCUCUGUGCUCCAGCUUUCUUCCUAAGCCAGUUGGAUUGGUAAAGCAAAAAGAAAACCACUCUGUAAUCAGAAACCCCUCACAGGUGAAUCAGCGGUAGGAAUUGUGAGGUUGGUGCGUCUCUCCAAAAGCAGCUCUGAAAAUAGCCUUGGAGUGGGGGACCCAGGCUCCUGCCCCAGCCUUCUGGCCUGACCCUUUAUCUGUUCGUCACUGUCACCCUGCCAACAACAAACACCCCCCUGGCUGGGGAUCUCGGGAACUGGAGCUCCUGCCAGGGGUCUUUGGCAUGAGUUCCUCUCUGAGUCAGCGCCACUGCGUCAGCCCAGUGGGAACAGCUGCCAGGGCCACACAUCUGUGAGUCAUUUGCACAUUUCAAGAUGAAUGAAAACUAUCCGGUGCCCAGGCUCACAGUGCCUCCACAGCGGCACUGCACUGCCAACUCCCUUGUGUUGUAGUGUUUUCUCACACACGGACCCUGCAGUAAAUUCAAAAGUCAAAAACUCUUGAGUGUCCAGGAACGCUGCAUGGAAAAAUACCUGUUCUGUUGCCAAAUC